CCGCCAUCUCGUCUGAACCGGCAAGACGCCAAACCCAGCGCCCCCUCCCGUCCUCGGCCAUCCAGCCCCCAACCCCACCCCACCCCACCCACUUGUCCCCUCCCUCCCAAACCCCAGAAUCCCCUGCCCGCGCCGACCCAACCAAUCCCGCACCCACGCGCCCGCACAUGCGCAGCAGUAGGGCGUCGACGACGACGACGCGGCGCAACGGAGGGGUGCAGGUCAGCGAAGGGCACAGGCCACUGCUCACGCCGCUGCUGCGCUCGGUGCUCAACAGGAGUAGCUCGUGCUACGUCCGCACCGCCGGAGAGGACGCCAAGAUGAGCAUGGAGGUGCAUGGGUUGCGCAUUCGGAUGAAGACUCAGUAGGUGGAGCAGCAAGAGGUGCCCCUCCGUAGGGCAGAUUUGUGGCCACACAUCUAUCACCAGCUGGUCCAUAUAGAGGAGGAGAUAAGGUACAUAUCAAGACACCUUUCU